rnacentral:piRNA from 1 species
UGGGAUCACGGUAUCAGAGCA